rnacentral:lncRNA from 1 species
GUCAACUCCGAUUCGAAUCGUUCAAACCGGCUUAGCGAACGAAUUCACCCUAUUCGUCGAAAAGAUCCGACUCCGAAGAACGAUUCGUUCACGUUCAGACAUCUCUAGAUGAAAAACACCGCAGCAGUCAGUCCACUCAGCAAGAGCGCGACGUCGUUUUGUCGCGUCGCUUGCUCGGACUGUGUGUGUGUGUGUGUGUGUGUGUCACUUCUCGACGUCGACUGAGAAAAUCUCGCGUGGCUGGCAGCUCUCUCUCGCGCCACCUCCACCAGCAACACACGCACGCCACUUACCAGCACCUCUCUCUUCUUUCACCCGCACCUCCUCCUUUCUCUCUCUCCCUUUGAGUGAGCGAGAGAUCUCCCGAAACCUGAGCGAGGCGGUCCCGGAGACACCAUAGUGGCGAUAUCCUCCAACAUGGCUACAAUUGUAACCUCCACCAGGUUUACAGACGAAUAUCAGCUGUACGAAGAGCUCGGAAAGUAAGCGACCGCACCGCUGCAUCACUCUCUCUCUCUCUCUCUCUCCACUCGCUGCAUUGUGUCUCGUCGUGUUGCCUGGGUCUAGUUCAGUGUGUUGACAGCCGCCUUCACACAGAGGCGGGUCGGUUUUGCAUGUCAGAAGCCAGUGCAGCCUGCUUAACGAAAGCCCGAUUGAGUUGAUUCGAGUAGUUCGGUGUGUUUGUUAAGCCUCGGGUUUCACGAAGCUCGUUUCUUUGUUGAUCUUUAGACGCGUUUCCUAACGUCGUGCUCGCGCGCUACAGGGUGCUUUCGGAGCCUGCGUGUCGUCGUGAUGCGAGAUGCAAUACUCUGUCGACACUUUAUCGACAUGCGGACGGCCAUUCGUUAGAAAGGGAAACACUUAAGGCUGGGGUGCUCGGCUUGGUGAUUUGCGUCCUCGUUUUGAAACUUUUACAGCAUUCAGAAGCAUUAAUCGGAUAUCACUGAUGACUGCUGCCGCGCAGGAUUGAUUGUACGGUUUGCUGCAGACUUGUGUAACGAGAGUUGCGGAAAAUGCUGCAGUUUUGGGCAUCAUAUAUCGCACCGU